rnacentral:rRNA from 1 species
GAAUAUGGGGGGACCAUCCUCCAAGGCUAAAUACUCCUGACUGACCGAUAGUGAACCAGUACCGUGAGGGAAAGGCGAAAAGAACCCCGGCGAGGGGAGUGAAAAAGAACCUGAAACCGUGUACGUACAAGCAGUGGGAGCCCCACCACCAAAGCAUUCUCUGGUGUUGAAGGCCCUGCAAAGCAGCAUCGCGGUGGCGGAGCGUCGUUUGCGACGCCCAACACAAAAAACAAGCGGUGAGUGCUUUGGGGUGGGGUGACUGCGUACCUUUUGUAUAAUGGGUCAGCGACUUAUAUUCUGUAGCAAGGUUAACCGAAUAGGGGAGCCGKAGGGAAACCGAGUCUUAACYGGGCGUUAAGUUGCAGGGUAUAGACCCGAAACCCGGUGAUCUAGCCAUGGGCAGGUUGAAGGUUGGGUAACACUAACUGGAGGACCGAACCGACUAAUGUUGAAAAAUUAGCGGAUGACCUGUGGCUGGGGGUGAAAGGCCAAUCAAACCGGGAGAUAGCUGGUUCUCCCCGAAAGCUAUUUAGGUAGCGCCUCGUGAAYUCAUCUCCGGGGGUAGAGCACUGUUUCGGCUAGGGGGCCAUCCCGGCUUACCAACCCGAUGCAAACUGCGAAUACCGGAGAAUGUUAUCACGGGAGACACACGGCGGGUGCUAACGUCCGUCGUGAAGAGGGA